ACAAAGGCUGUGACGAAGACGGUUGCGUUUAUGUCCUUUCAGAGAGUCGGUGUUUGGUGCGAGCCGAUAGCGAUAUGAAUGUAAAACCCAUCACUUCCGAGCCGGAGAGAUGAAACAACAGUAGUUUCUCCCGUGACAACUGCGUCAGUGUUGAGGGAUUGUCAGAUCCUGCAGAGAGGCGAGAAGCAAUAGCAGAUCGCAAUUUGAGUGGUACCGCGGAUUAUCAAAUCCGUCUCAAAG
rnacentral:ncRNA from 1 species